UACGUAGGGGGCCAGCGUUGUCCGAAGUUACUGGGCGUAAAGAGCGCGUAGGCGGGCCCUUAAGUGGGGGGUGAAAGGUUGGGGCUCAACCCCAACACUGCCUUUCAUACUGGGGGCCUUGAGUGGCGGGAGAGGCGAGUGGAAUGGUCGGUGUAGCGGUGAAAUGCGUAGAUAUCGAAUCGGAACACCCAUGGCGAAGGCAGCUCGCUGGCCUGCAACUGACGCUGAGGCGCGAAAGCCGGGGGAGCGAACAGG
rnacentral:rRNA from 1 species